rnacentral:RNase_P_RNA from 1 species
CCAGAGGGUUGGGCGGCCGCGGGUGCGCAAGCACGCGAGGAAAGUCCGGGCUCCACGGAAACACGGUGCCGGGUAAUGCCCGGCGGGGGCGACCCCAGGGAAAGUGCCACAGAGAGCAGACCGCCCACUGGUCUUUCGGGACUAAGGGCAAGGGUGAAAGGGUGCGGCAAGAGCGCACCGCGCGACCGGUAACGGAAGCGGCAUGGUAAACCCCACCGGGAGCAAGACCGAAUAGGGGCGGCGCAUGGGCCUGGUUCCGGCCCGUCGCCCGGGUUGGUUGCUGGAGCGGCGGAGCAAUCCGUCGCCUAGAGGAAUGGUCGCACAUCGCCGUCCAGGGAUUCCCUGGGAAGCGAGGACAGAACCCGGCUUAUAGACCCUCUGGCAUU